GUAAUUACUACUUAUAUAAAAUUUAAGAAGAUUUAUUCAACUUUAAGGAAGGGUUAAUUCCUCCAUACUGGACCCAUCUAUGGCCAUGUAAAAAAUAUCUCGGUGCAUCAGUAUAGCAUGCAGUAAAACAAUCCGUGCGGGUGGGCGGAUUUUAAACUUUUUUUUACCAAAUUAUAGUUAUUUACAUGUACGGAAGAAUUUGUUCAAACCACGCACCGCAUCGUAACAAUACUGUUACACUAGCUUUCCAAUUGCCAAGGGCAAGAAUAUCCGCCAUGUUCGAACAGUACAAAAUAACAAUCAUUUGCAAAAGUGGUUGACAAAAC